UGCAAGUAGUGAGAUAGUUACAGGAGAGGUGGUAAUUUUUAAAAGCUAAAUGUCAAGGUUGUGAGGCCUACCUUAAAGUACAGGAUGUCAGAAGGUCAUCUCCAAGACCACUGGACACUAGUUUCUGAGGACCAUCUACAAUGGAGGAAGUGCAUCACGGAUUAAGAAGCUGAAGAUUCAGUUCUUCUGUUACUUCCCUUGUUACAGGGAAAGCUUUCAAAACACAGACACUUCUGUUCCUUUGGGCACAGGCAAAAGGCAAUUAAAUCGGCCAAGCUAAAUUGAAAACAGGUGAUGGUGAAGGGCACGGCGGGCUUGAAUCAAGGCUGGUGGCUGUGUGGAUGUACACAGAGGUGAUAUCACCAAAGGCUGACUGUCCUCGCCCUGGCUGCUGUCACUGCCCCACAGCCGGAGCUCUACAAUGACUGUGGCAGAGAACUCUCACUGGACUAGGAGUCCAGGGCACACUGGCCUCACCAGGGCUCCAGCUGCGGAUCCCAUCAUCCCCCGCAGGACGUCAGGUGAUGAGGGUGACAGAGCUGGGGCUGAGGUGUCCGCAGAGAACUUGGAUACUCAAGAGGCAGGCGUGAGUGGCUGGUGAGGUUCACCAGGGGAGGUUUGGAGGCCUACAACAACGGGAAUGUUUCGGCAGCCUCAGGGUAGCUGUCACCAGGCCCUGCCCUUGGCUGGUGCCCCUUCUGGAGGAUGCAUGAGUCUGAGAAGUCUGAAGUUCUUAUCUCCUCACUGUCCUCGUCAUGAACACACUGAGGCCGCUGUCCAUCCUCAGAAGGUGGUGUGCUGACAAAGUAUUCGGUGCCCAGGCGGAGCACAGGGUCUGGACGUUCAGCCCUGGUUAUGGCUUGGCCAUGGUGGGCAUGUCUGACGUGGGGACAGCCAGUCCACCAAGCCCAGCACCUCCACACCCGCACGCCAAGCGCUUGAGCGGCUCGUCCAGCUGCUAAUGGUUGCACAACAGCAUAGCCACUGCGCAUGCGGGUUGACGUCAGGCUCUUCACACGCGGCAGCACCUGCAAGUCCCCAUGCACGUCCUAGUGCUGAGAGCAUCCCGCACCCCGGCGUACCGCGACAUCUGCAGGAAGCUCCAAGGCCAGUGCGGAAUGCAGGUGUGAGAGCGGCCUGGGCUGGGAGACUCUGCAGAGACAAACAUUCAUAACCUCUGCUAAGCUAAGUCGCUUCAGUCGUGUCCGACUCUGUGCAACCUCAGAGACGACAGCCCACCAGGCUCCGCCAUCCCUGGGAUUCUCCAGAUUUCCCAAAGGUAUAUAUUAAAAUACAGAAAUGAGAAGUUUACAGCCACAAACACAUGCAGAACUCAAGAUA
ensembl:lncRNA